GGGGGGGAUCUGGAAGCACUCCCAUUUAGCACCAUACUAAGACGUAGCACAUGCCCCAUCCCCUGUCAGACCUCUGACUCCCCAGAAUCCCCAGAACAAUAAUAGGCUUUACUUUGUGAUUCCUCUGGUGACACAUUUAUUUUAAUUCUUCUGGCAGAGCUGGAGACUCGCAGGAUGAAUUCACUCUGACAUUGUUUUCUAAUUAGGUGUCUUGACACAGCAGGCAUUCCAGUCGCCAGCAUUUCUUUUGUUUCUCUGCUGUGCCAGAAAGCUGUCUGCUUUUUAGCUGCCUGAUCUUUCAGAAAUGUUACCUGCCCUGUAAAAUGAGAUAACACAUGGAAGGCACCUGGCCCAGUCCGUGGCACCUGAGAGAUCCCUGAGAAGUGUUCAUUCCAUUGCCCUGUUUCCUCUCUCCGCCUUCAUACCUUCUGGUGCUUUAGUGAACCUCAAAGAUAAAAAUAUUACCAUUGUAAGGUUUACAUUUUUCUUCAUCCCAAAAUAGACCUCAGUAACUCUAUAAGCAGAUACUAUAUGGAUUCCACAUUUCAUUUCCUCUUAUUCUCACAGGGUACCUUACAAGUUAGAAAUUUUUAUUCUCUCUGCUUUUUGGAGAAAGAAACCUUAACUUUUCUCAAGUAACCGAGGUGGCAGAGUGGGUCAGUAAGGAACGUGGGACAAGAACCCCCAUGCGCCUCUCUCCAAAAAUCUUCAUUCUCAACCCCUGCACCAGACUGUCUUCCACACACGGGCUCUGAGCGGCCAGCACUGUAUCUGGAGAAGCCACCACCCUGUCCGGUCCUCCAGACAGAACGGAAGUGUGCCUGGACCCCAGCUGUAAGCACCCGCCCUCUGUGGCCCCGAGAGAAUCCAGUCUCAGGGCUUGGCCCUUCCCCAUCCCCUCCUCUGGGCAGCCCGCGUUGAGUCCCAUCUGGAAUGUGGAGGAAGAAGGCCCUGUAGCAAACGCACAUCUCGACCCCCUCCCUCCCUGCCAGGCCUCCCUCGCCAACUCCAUGCCCAAUUUCAGUCCUGAGGGGCGAGAACAGCAGGUGCUGGGGCCGCCCUCGCCCUUGGUGUUCUGGGAGCCCAUUGUCUAAUUUUGCUCGGGCCUGGCCUGCUUCCUUUUUAGUUCUGGGCAUGUGGGCAGAGUACAAGCUAAUUGGCAGGGCUGUUCCAAAUCCUGAAGAACGCGGGCGCUGCCUGCUCGCCAGCGGGAGGGCCGUAUGCCCAGCUUGCGCCCUGACAUUUUCCGAGGCCUGGGCGAGGCCACCUGCCUGACGAAGGCUUACCAGGGAAAAUCAGGUCCUGACAGCCUGACAGGGACAACCGCCCAGACGAGGGAGAUUCAUCUGCUCGCGAUGCCUGGUCAGCAAGGAGGAGACUCGACUUAGGACGAGGAAGGGGCCUUGAAGGCACAGAGGAUCCUCCAGCCCCCGGCCAGGGCUCGACUUAGGACGAGGAAGGGGCCUUGAAGGCACAGAGGAUCCUCCAGCCCCCGGCCAGGGAGAAGCCACGAGGACCCCCAGGUUGCUGGGCGAUGAUAAGGGGAAGAGGAGACCACCCCCAGCUCCGCAGCGAGCGCCCUCACUUUGGGGAGACAGAGGCGUCGAUCCCUCCUGCGGACGGCUGGGGGCGCUGCGCUUCAACCGAAGGCAGAGAUCCUGGACCCGGGCGAGACAACCCCUCCCGGAGGAGAGGAACUCUUGAGGGGGUAAAAGAGCUCUGCAGAGUGUAGAGGAGCCGGACUUUGCAGCCAGGUACCUCUGUGCAAGUCUCAGCUGUGCCUCUGAAGUAGCUAGCGGUUACCCAGCGCUGUGCUGAGGUCUUGUCAUCACUGUGUCAUUGAAGGCUCACAGCCACCCUUUAAGGAAAACGAUCUUGUGGUCAUUAUUUUAUAAGAAAUGGAAGCUCAGUGCCACCCCUACCCCACGGACACAUUGCCAGAGAGCGGUGGCGUGUCUGGCCUGGAACUUAAUGAUUUCUGUCGGACAGAAGUCCAUGCUCUUAACCAUUAAGCCUCCCAUACAAAGAUACUUCGUGCGGGGACAUGAGAUAGAGCCUCAUAGCACUGAAACCACAGAGGACGAGUUUCUUAGCUUUGUCAUCUCUGAAAUGGGAAUAUUAAUAUUACUCCCAUCUUGCAAGGCUUUGGGGAAGAUGAGAGAGAAUGUGAAAAGGUCUAUGGGAGAGGUCCUUGUGGGUGAAGGUGUGGGGGGAGUCCCCAGCCCCUCCGCGGGCACUCAGAGGGAUGUGGGAGGACUGUGGAGCCUAUGCUUAUUGAUGCUGUUUCUUUUCAAUCAAACCUCUGUCAGAAACAAUGCAUGACAUCAAAAUGGAGGAGAUGUCGAGUUUGAACGGUCCUGUAAGACCUGCCUGAGAACAGGGCCAGGAGCCACCCCUUGGCAUACUCUACGCCUGUCACUGGGCCCAGCAAUCACAGAACUCAGGACAUGGAUGCAAUUAAAUAAAGAAAACCUCUGUGAUUCUCUGGUGCUGACAACACCCUGGAAUGCAUCUACAGCUCCAGGGCCGCCAUUUUGUCCUAAGAGGAAGCCAGCUUCCUCCCUCAGGGCUCCAACCACUGCAGCCCCCAUUAUAGUAACAACCUCUGAUCCUCCUUCCAAAGGCAUCAGGUGUGUAAGUCCUGCUUUUCUGUUUAUUCAGUGGAGGGGACCCUGCAGAGAGGACAAGCAGCUACUGUCCUCAGCCCCUUUAAGCCAGGGAUCCCUCCUUCAUACAAAGGCGUUCCUGGGGAUUUGCUUUCCUUGCGGUUUGUCGGUCACGUCUUAUAGGGAAGGGGCUCAUUGCCUGGAUGCCUGUUCUAGCCUGAAUGUGCCUUCCACAGCCGGCGUGUUCUGAGGGAUGGGGGGCAGUUGGUUCGGGAAAGGGUAGGACAGGAGCAGGUCUGGGCUGUUGCCUAAGGUUAGCUCAGAGGGAUAAAACUCCUGCACAGUAAAGGAGUUCUCAGCAGAGGUUAGCAGGUCUCCUGUCAGGGUGGCUUCAAGAAUUCUUUCUUCAGAAUGGCUUGAGCAAAAGCAUAUCUGGGAGCCAGAUGAACUUGAGGCCUUUCCCUAGCCUGAACUCUUGGUCUUGUAGGGGCUGGUUCACUCUCUUAUCCCAUUUCAACAAGAGGGACGCUCCUUCAUGCAUCACCGGGGAGUCCCUGCACAGAACCUACCCAUUCGUGGCUGCCCAUUCUCACCACCUUCUCUUGAAGGAUUCUUUCGAGUUCCUUUCCUGGGCUCUUGAAGCCCCUUGGAGUACGUGUUUGCAAACCUGCACCCUACCAUCCCCGAGAUCUUCAGAGGCGGGCUUUAGUCUGUUCAGAUUUGUUUGCCGGUGACCAACUCAGUGGCAUGCAGGGUGGACAAGUGGUUCUUAAACCCUCCCUGUGGCUCAGUUGCCUGAGGUGAGAUGAUAUUCACAAUGCCAAUGCCUGGCCCCAUGCCCAGAGAUUCUGACUCAACUGACCUGAGGUCUGGACAUGGGCAGUCUAAGCUCCCCAGGUGAUUCUAUGUGCAGCCAUGAUGGACGCCCAAAGGAGACCAUCAACGAAUCAAAACGGUGACUCUGACCAAGUGACACCUCCUUUUUUAAAAUUUCUCUUUCUGGUGGUGAGGAAGCAGAUUCUCAACCUCUAUUCAUCCUUAGCAUUUAUCCAUGGUUAAUAUCAUUUGUUUGAGCCAUACAACUCUUGGAGAACCAAGUUCUGGAGGGAGAAGCUAUUGGCAGGAGUGUCUGGAACUGCACGGAAGAACUCACUAAGUCUUAUAAAAUCCCUGCCUGCAACAGGUUGCGUGCUCUCAUUCUCCUCCAGCUCUACUCCGUGCCUGCCACGGUUUACUACACUGUAGAUCCUGGCUCCCAAACUUGGUACUUGUCAGAAUCCCCCACUCCAGUAGUUACAAAUCAGACCUUUUGAGGGGUCAGAUGUGAGAGGCGGGGUGUGUGUGUGUGUGUGUGUGUGUACAUAUAUGUGUGUAUUUAAAGCCCCCUCAGUGAUUCUUCUUACACAUUUGCAGAGUGGGAACUGCCGUCCCAGGUCAUCUCAGCUGGUCAGUCCAUGUUGCUCAAAACUCUGGGGUGUGCUCUCCCCUGAGGGACUCUGAGUCCUUGUGGAAAGAGUUGUGGCAAGUCCAAAAGGGCUGUGUGUGAGGGUCUGGCAGGUGGGGGGCAUGCAGCCCUGGGGGGAUCAUCCAUGUGGACAAGAUGUUUUGUGCCAAAUUGUGACACACCCAAGAAGACUGAAUAGAGCCUCAUCCAGGGUGAAGAUGAGUGAGAUCUGAUCCGAAAGCAAUUGUUGAGGUCCAGUCCCACAUGCCGCACGCUAAAGCUGUGGGACUUCAGAGGAAGAGAGUCUGGGACUUUGGAUUAGUAACAUGAUGUGAACGGAUGAAGUUAAAGCUUUGUCUCCUUCUUCCCAUGUCAUCUACAUAGGAAAACUAGAGACAAGGACAUAGAAAUAGGAGAUGAAGCUGAUUUGAAAAGCCACCAGAGCUCUGAGAGGAGUAGUACCCAUUCUGUGUCACACCAUCACCGUUCUCACCUGUGGCUGACUGCAGCACCUGAAGCUCGACCAGCUGCAGUCUGUCACCAACAUGAAGUUGCUCCUAGAGCACUCUUUAUUCCUUUAAAAAUGAUAAAAUACUACAAGCACGAAGGACUAUAGAGAAUAUUGUCCCUAUGUCUCCAUAUUUGCUUCAGCUGAUGUUUUAAAAGACUAGAACAUUGUUAACCCUCACCUGUGCCAUUUCCUGCCCUCUCCCUGCUCUUCAGAAAUUGGUAUUUAUGUUUCCCAUGAAUGUUUUUAUACUUUUACUACACAUGUAAGUAUCCACACAUAAUAGAUGAUAUGGUUUUGCAAGCUUUCAAACUUUACAUAAAUGAUGUCUUACUGUAUCCUUUGCAUGUUUUUCAUUCACUGUUGUGUUUCUGAGGUUUAUCGCUGUUGAUACAAGAUCAAUUUCAUUAUUAUCUAUUCAUUCUUUUUCUGAUGGGUGCUAAGAUUGUGUCCCAUUUUUUACUGCUAGAAAUCACGCUACAACAUUAUUUACAAUGUAUGUUCUGUAGCCAUGUCCUUAAACACAGGUGUUCGACUCUGCGAUCAUCGCGGCCCUCAGACCUGCUCCUCGCCUGGACUAGGCUCUGCUCUGGGGUCACCCUUCCCCAGCAUGCAACUUGACUCUUGAAGACCAAGUUUCACUUGAAGACCACGUCUUACACCAGAAUUCUCCCUGGAUCAUCCUUGUCAGGGAUUCCUACCCUACCUUGCCACCCACACCUGGCCCCUCCUAAAAGGAAUGUUCUUUGGCAGGAACGAAGAGCAUGUGCUCGGUUGUAGGGUGAGAAGACCUCAUGUGAGUGGUCAGUUUUAACUGGACCUCAAAGGAGGCUGUUUCCAGAGGCAAGGAGAAAUGGGCGAGUUUUCUUGGCGAAGGGGCAGCAAGAGCCAGCAUAGGCAAAGGAACGUGGCAGUGUCAGGAGAGGACCAGGCAAAGAGCUGGCCAGCAGAUGGAAGCUGAGUGCUGCUGGAGAGUAGGAGGCUGGAUUAGUAACAUGAUGUGAACUGAGGAAGUUAAACAUUUGUCUCCUCCACCAGAUCACUGCAUUUUAGCUCUGUAGAAGGAAGCGGCCUGGAGACCCUGAGGAGCAGAAACAGUGGCUCACUCCUGUGCUUCUGUGGUCUGUUUCCUCACUUUUCCCCUUCCGUCAAGUGUUGAGGCUCUGUGGAGUUCAGCUUCCUCUUCCCUCCAUCACUCAUAUCCCACUUCCCAUCACCGGCUUCCAUGCAAGAGAACUCCAGGUUACUGGCCUCGGGCAGCAGUCCAGCUGUUACCAGUAAACCGGAAGCUGACGUCACUAACAAGAGUUCAGGGAGCACCAAGAGGCAGACCAGAGGUCUCCUAAGCUUGACUCCUCUUCGGCACGAGACUAAGGAAGCGCCCCAAGUGCCAGUCAGAGGUGUGGGAGACCAGCUUGUGUGUGUGUGAGAGAGACAGGGGAAGGCAGGUGGAGUUGGGGAGCUCUUUCAGCUUAGCUGGGCUUAGUGAUUUCAAGUGAGCCUCUGCUGGGAGAAAUGGGUUUGUUGUUACUGAAAGAACAAGUUUGGGUCUCAAGUUUUCUUUUGCCUUAUUUGACAGCUCAUAAAACUCCGCAGCAAAUCGGAACUUCCAGCUCCACGGCUUGGAGGAAGAAGCCUAGGAAUAGUUACCGACUCCUUCCCCUGUCCUUGGCUUGACCUCCCUCCCUCCCUCCUUCUCACCACACCAUUUAGAAAUCAUGAAGACAAUCUGUUCCCAAGAGCAAGGGUGGAGGGUGGAAGGCUGGCUGGGCUGAUGGGACCAACGCUUGUCAGAAAUGAACAGGCCCAUGCGACAGUGAAGACAAUGCAGAGGGAAAGAGCUUUUGGCUUCAUGCUUUGACAAAGUGCCCUGAGACUGUAUGUGCAUGUGUGUAUUUCUGUUCGGUAAAUCCUGGAAGGCCAGUGCAGUGGGAGAAUCCAGAUGUUUUCAGCCUCCAAAAUGUGCCAGGUAGUUAUAGUUGACAGUGGAGUAUGUGAGAAACUAUACGGUACUGGCCUCAUUCUUCAUGCUGCCACUCUGGCCUUUGACUUUGGAGUGGGGAAUUUCUUAAAUUCACACAUCCCUGACCCCUUUUGUGGGUGACCCAGGCCCUGGCAUACACUGUGCAAUUAACAAAUGUCAGCUGAAUGAGUAGAAUGAAUAAACAAAAAAGAGUCAUUGUGUAA